rnacentral:pre_miRNA from 1 species
UGCGAGCUAUAACCUAGUGGAGUACGCUUAUAUUCCGUAUCACUAAGUUAUAGACCGCUGA